rnacentral:rRNA from 1 species
UCUGACGGAGCACGCCGCGUGAGUGAUGAAGGUUUUCGGAUCGUAAAACUCUGUUGUUAGGGAAGAACAAGUGCGAGAGUAACUGCUCGCACCUUGACGGUACCUAACCAGAAAGCCACGGCUAACUACGUGCCAGCAGCCGCGGUAAUACGUAGGUGGCAAGCGUUGUCCGGAAUUAUUGGGCGUAAAGCGCGCGCAGGCGGUUUCUUAAGUCUGAUGUGAAAGCCCCCGGCUCAACCGGGGAGGGUCAUUGGAAACUGGGGAACUUGAGUGCAGAAGAGGAGAGUGGAAUUCCACGUGUAGCGGUGAAAUGCGUAGAGAUGUGGAGGAACACCAGUGGCGAAGGCGACUCUCUGGUCUGUAACUGACGCUGAGGCGCGAAAGCGUGGGGAGCAAACAGGAUUAGAUACCCUGGUAGUCCACGCCGUAAACGAUGAGUGCUAAGUGUUAGAGGGUUUCCGCCCUUUAGUGCUGCAGCUAACGCAUUAAGCACUCCGCCUGGGGAGUACGGUCGCAAGACUGAAACUCAAAGGAAUUGACGGGGGCCCGCACAAGCGGUGGAGCAUGUGGUUUAAUUCGAAGCAACGCGAAGAACCUUACCAGGUCUUGACAUCCUUUGCCACUUCUAGAGAUAGAAGGUUCCCCUUCGGGGGACAAAGUGACAGGUGGUGCAUGGUUGUCGUCAGCUCGUGUCGUGAGAUGUUGGGUUAAGUCCCGCAACGAGCGCAACCUCUUGAUCUUAGUUGCCAGCAUUCAGUUGGGCACUCUAAGGUGACUGCCGGUGACAAACCGGAGGAAGGUGGGGAUGACGUCAAAUCAUCAUGCCCCUUAUGACCUGGGCUACACACGUGCUACAAUGGAUGGUACAAAGGGCUGCGAAACCGCGAGGUUUAGCCA